GACGGGGGAUGCGAGCGUUAUCCGGAAUGAUUGGGCGUAAAGGGUCCGCAGGUGGCCCGGUCAGUCCGCUGUCAAAGCCUGGGGCUCAACCCUGGAGAGGCGGCGGAGACCACCGGGCUUGAGUCCGGUAGGGGCAGAGGGAAUUCCCGGUGGAGCGGUGAAAUGCGUAGAGAUCGGGAGGAACACCGAUGGCGAAGGCAGUGUCCUGGCGAGUAUCCUGACGCUGAGGUGCGAAAGCCAGGGGAGCGAACGGG
rnacentral:rRNA from 1 species